UACGGAGGGUGCAAGCGUUAUCCGGAUUCACUGGGUUUAAAGGGCGCGCAGGUGGCGGUGUUGGCCCGGCGUGAAAGCCCCCGGCUCAACCGGGGAGGGUCGUCGGGGACCGCACCGCUUGAGGGCGGUAGGGGCUGGUGGAAUGCCUGGUGUAGUGGUGAAAUGCGUAGAGAUCAGGCGGAACACCCGUAGCGAAGGCGGCCAGCUGGGCCGUCCCUGACACUGAGGCGCGAAGGCGUGGGGAGCGAACGGG
rnacentral:rRNA from 1 species